rnacentral:rRNA from 1 species
CCCUUAGAUGUCCUGGGCCGCACGCGCGCUACACUGAUGCAUGCAACGAGUUUAUAACCUUGGCCGAGAGGCCUGGGCAAUCUUGUUAACGUGCAUCGUGAUAGGGAUAGAUUAUUGAAAUUAUUAAUCUUGAACGAGGAAUUCCUAGUAAACGCAGAUCAUCAAUCUGCAUUGAUUACGUCCCUGCCCUUUGUACACACCGCCCGUCGCACCUACCGAUUGGAUGGUCCGGUGAAGCCUCGGGAUUGUGGUUCUUGCCGCUUUAUUGUGGCGUGACCGCGAGAACUUGUCUAAACCUUAUCAUCUAGAGGAAGGUGAAGUCGUAACA